rnacentral:rRNA from 1 species
GAUGAACGCUGGCGGCGUGCCUAAUACAUGCAAGUCGAGCGAACAGAUGAGGAGCUUGCUCCUCUGACGUUAGCGGCGGACGGGUGAGUAACACGUGGAUAACCUACCUAUAAGACUGGGAUAACUUCGGGAAACCGGAGCUAAUACCGGAUAAUAUAUUGAACCGCAUGGUUCAAUAGUGAAAGACGGUUUUGCUGUCACUUAUAGAUGGAUCCGCGCCGCAUUAGCUAGUUGGUAAGGUAACGGCUUACCAAGGCAACGAUGCGUAGCCGACCUGAGAGGGUGAUCGGCCACACUGGAACUGAGACACGGUCCAGACUCCUACGGGAGGCAGCAGUAGGGGAUCUUCCGCAAUGGGCGAAAGCUUGACGGAGCAACGCCGCGUGAGUGAUGAAGGUCUUCGGAUCGUAAAACUCUGUUAUUAGGGAAGAACAAAUGUGUAAGUAACUAUGCACGUCUUGACGGUACCUAAUCAGAAAGCCACGGCUAACUACGUG